rnacentral:rRNA from 1 species
GAUGAACGCUGGCUACAGGCUUAACACAUGCAAGUCGAGGGGAAACGCCGGGGAAGCUUGCUUCCCCGGGCGUCGACCGGCGCACGGGUGAGUAACGCGUAUCCAACCUGCCUCUGACUGAGGGAUAACCCGUCGAAAGUCGGCCUAAUACCUCAUGGCAUCGUCUGCGGGCAUCCAACGACGAUUAAAGAUUUCAUCGGUCAGGGAUGGGGAUGCGUCUGAUUAGCUUGUUGGCGGGGUAACGGCCCACCAAGGCUACGAUCAGUAGGGGUUCUGAGAGGAAGGUCCCCCACAUUGGAACUGAGACACGGUCCAAACGCCUACGGGAGGCAGCAGUGAGGAAUAUUGGUCAAUGGGCGGGAGCCUGAACCAGCCAAGUAGCGUGCAGGAUGACGGCCCUAUGGGUUGUAAACUGCUUUUAUGCGGGGAUAAAGUGAGGGACGUGUCCUUCAUUGCAGGUACCGCAUGAAUAAGGACCGGCUAAUUCCGUG